CUGAACGCCUCUAAGUCAGAAUCCGUGCUAGAAACGAUGAUGUUGGUGUCGCACAUUUGACUUGUGUUUAAAUAGAGCUUUGCUCGUGAACCAAAUAUGGUGGGCUGGGUUGUCUUUGCGGAAACGCUUGGGUGACUUGUCUACGAAUUGUAAUCAUAAUAUGGGCGGCGGUGAAUCCUUUGCAGACGACUUGAAUGGGAACGGGGUACUGUAAGUGGUAGAGUAGCCUUGUUGCUACGAUCCACUGAGGUUAAGCCCUUGUUCUAAAGAUUUGUUC
rnacentral:rRNA from 1 species